GGCGGGGUAGCAAAGUGGUUAUGCAGCGGCCUGCAAAGCCGUGGACGCCGGUUCGAUUCCGACCCCCGCCUCCA
rnacentral:tRNA from 1 species